GUAGUAUUCCCUCCGUCCCAAAAUUCUUGUCUUACAUUUGUUUAGAUACGGAUGUAUCUAACACUAAAAUGUAACUAGAUACAUCCGUAUUUAGACAAAUUUAAGACAAGAAUUUUGGGACAGAGGGAGUACAAA
rfam:Triticum aestivum genome assembly, contig: Triticum_aestivum_CS42_TGACv1_scaffold_340830_4BS